AUUGAACGCUGGCGGCAGGCCUAACACAUGCAAGUCGAACGAGUGGCGGACGGGUUAGUAAUGUCUGGGAAACUGCCUGUUGGAGGGGGAUAACUACUGGAAACGGUAGCUAAUACCGCAUACCAUCAGAUGUGCCCAGAUGGGAUUGGCUAGUUGGUGGGGUAACGGCUCACCAACGCGACGAUCCCUAGCUGGUCUGAGAGGAUGACUAGCCGCACUGGGACUGAGACACGGUCCAAGCGCCUACGGGAGGAGGCAGUGGGGAUUAUUGCGGUAUGGGCGCAAGCCAGGUGCAGACAUGCCGAGUGUAUGAAGAAGGCCUUCUGGUUGGAAAUUACUUUCAGUGGGGAGGCGGUACCAGCAGAAGAAGCCCCGGCUAACUCCGUGCCAGCAGCCGCGGUAAUAC
rnacentral:rRNA from 1 species